GGAGAUGUUAGCUUUCUAGAUUUUGGUGGUGGUUUCAUGGGUGUAUACAUCUAUCGAAAUUCAUCAAGUUGUACAUCUGAAAUGUGUAGUUUUCUGCACAGGAAUCAUGCCACAAAAAAGGUGUUAAAACAGCACUUUCCCUUCUUUAUUUCUAACAGAAGUGGGCAGGUGUGCUAGGGCAGGAAAGAGGUUUACCUAAUGAAGUCGCGUGUAGACAGGCAGUUGGCAGUUCAGCCCUCUUUGAAACCAGUUUUGCUUUGGUAUUUUUCUUCCAUUCGUUAACUCCCUUCAGUGACCCUGUUUGGUGCCUCUUUAUACCAUGACCAAAGUGACAGGCUUUGGUCUCUGUUGGAUUAAUCAAUGUGUUCUUUGAUCCGUGCCACAUGUUCCCCAUAGACGUCUGAAGUCAACAUAUUCAGCAUUCGUGGUCUGGUGGUUCAGCGUGGUUACUCAGGCUGAUGAACUGGUUUGGGCAUUCGCCUCCAAGAUACUCCUUUCCUCCUGGGGUCCUCUCUCUCACGUCUCCACUCCCAACAACACAAAUAUUGACUGUCCCAAUCACUCAUUAGCAGUAAAAAUUUGAGAGCAAUUAUUUUUUACGGCGCUUGCCCCGAAAGACACCAUUAAUUACUUUACUGCCUGUGGAUUGGAGCCGGUUUCGGUGUCCAUCAAGCCGGCUCCCCACCUGAAGAAUUAUUUGCAACUCAGAAUGUUGGACACCACUCAGGAUGUUGCCUGGCAGUCCAAGCGCGACACUGUGCAUUGGCUUUAGAAGUGAGACGUUAAGACUCUCCCUGCCUCGAUGUUGGAUUUCUCCAACACAGGACGCACAGGUGGGCCUGACCCAGCUUGGUGCCGGGAGAUGGUUUCCAUCCUUCUCCUACUCUCACAGGAAUAUGACUGCCUCCUGGAAUGUGAACUUGUACCUUGAACCAGCUUGACCAUGAGUUUCUUCUCAGUGUGGAAAACCCUACAAGUCAUUUGGAAUGUAUACUUUUAUUUACUAGGAGGAGGCUAUUCCUCUAUUAAAACUGUAUUGAUUGUA